UACGUAGGUGGCAAGCGUUGUCCGGAUUUACUGGGCGUAAAGAGCGCGCAGGCGGUCAGAUAAGUCGAAUGUGAAAGCCCCCGGCUCAACUGGGGAGGGUCAUUCGAUACUGUUCGACUCGAAGGCAGGAGAGGGAAGUGGAAUUCCCGGUGUAGCGGUGAAAUGCGUAGAUAUCUGGAGGAAUACCGGUGGCGAAGGCGGCAUCCUGGACCAUUACUGACGCUGAGGCGCGAAAGCUAGGGGAGCAAACGGG
rnacentral:rRNA from 1 species